rnacentral:lncRNA from 1 species
UGCUGAGGGUGUCAUUAAAGGACAAGUCACACUGAGGGUUUUUCCAUCACGCUGAGGGUGCCUCUAUCAUGCUGAGGGUGUCAUGACAGGACAAGUCACACUGAGGUUGUCUGGUACAGGAGAAGUCACGCUGCGGGUGUCAUGAAGAGUACAAGUCUUGCUAAGGUUUUCAUGAACAGGACAAGUCAUGCUGAGUUGUCAUGCUGAGUGGGCAGGACAAGUCUCAUUGAUUGUGUCAUGGACAGGAUAAGUCAUGCCGAGAGUGUCAUGUUCUGGAAAAGUCAUGCGGAGGGUGUCAUGGAGAGGACAAGUCUCACUGAGGGUGUCUCCAUCAUGCUGAGGUCGUCUCUAUCACACUGAGGGUGUCAUGAACUCGCCAAGUCAUCCUGAGGGUGUCAUGGACUGGACAAGUCAUGCUGAGAGUGUCAUGGACAGGACAAGUCAUGCUGAGGCUGUCUUGGACAGGACAAGUCACACUGUGGGUUUCCAUCAUGUUGAGAGUCUCCAUCUCUCUGAGGGUGUCUCCAUGCUAAGUUUUUACCUCCUGAUAUGAAUUCUCCCUGGAGAGGGGAUAAGAAAUAUAAACAAAGCUGUUGGAGCUGUACUCAAUAGUCUAAAGAUUUUCAGAAGUGCACAAAUCACUGUGGGAUGGGAAGACACCAUCCUCACAGAUGUGGGUUCUCUGAGCAUGGGUCACCUUCAGCAAUGGAGGAGUACACACUCUCCCAUCUAGCUUUACACUCAUUGAAUGUUACACUGGAUAUGUUACAGGAUCGAUACUGGCCCUGUAAGCCAGUUACUCCCAGGCUGCCUAUAAGCAAAUGUGCCAUAAGCCCUAUUUAGUAAGUGACCAAUGUGAGGAAGAGGGGACUUUCCCUAGGAUAGUGCCACAACUUCAUUUUCUGUUCUGAGAGAAAGAAGAGUGGGGACUGAUUCUUCAACCCUACAGGCUUAGAUCAGUCUCAGGGAGUUCUCUCUGUGACUUGACUCCACACAAAUGGCUUCAUCCCCAACUUCUGACUGUGAGCUUAGAUGAUAUGUUUUAUUGUUGGUGGUCAAGAGGGACCAAGAUCUGGCUUAUACAACUACUUUCUGCUUGUCUUUAAUGAGGUACUCAGGGAGUCUAUGCCCAGUGGAACCUCAUGCUGAAGUAAAUACCUCUUUAAUUCUCCCAGACCUCCUUCCAACACACAGGGCUGUGACUGCUCAUCCACUCUUCACCUUUUCACAACCUUCCUAUAUUCCCAACACUUUCCAAUCCUUAGAAUAAAGAAUGCUAUUGUCCAGCAACUCCAUGGUAAAAGGACUAGAACUGUCCUGCCCAGGUAUUUUCAGGGUAGUAGAGAUGCCAAUAUUUCUUCUGCAACAAGUGUUGCUCACACUCUCCCAUAGUGGCAGCAACAGCAGGAGUCACAGUUCUACCAAUUGGAACCUAAGAUCAAUACAUUAAUUGGGUUCUUAUUGUUUACUUUGAGCUUCUAAGGAGGGAAAGGAAGACUGGAAAUGCUACCUGAUCCAAGUAAGAUGGUGUAUGAAUGCUUGUAUGUUAUAUCUAAUAAAAUUAAACAGGUGACUUUUGGGGAACCAAAACAACUUAAAACUGGGAUUUAUAAAUGUCAAAUGUCUUGGCAGAAUGCACCAUGAGCACUCCUGCACAGUGUUGGGAGAAGAGUGAGGAGUCUCAAUGGGACAACACUGGAAAGUGACUAAUGGUAAGCUCAAAACUGGGUCAUGAAGGGGAAUUGAUUCCUGCUCCAUAUGAGAUGUGGUUUCUGAGUUGGGAUCAUUCUGAGUGGAUGUCUUCAUGCAGUUCACCACAAGACUGAGCUCUGAUUGGCCAAGCAGCAGCAGCAGCCACACACACUCACUAUUUUCAGGGCAAAGGGCAUGCUGCUAUCUUGUUGGCAUCAACAGAUCCUCUGUGCCUGUGUUCAGUUGUGCUUACAUCUUGUGCUAACUCUGUAUCAGAGACCUAUCUGCUACUGACAUACUUUGUAAUGCUCCACAUCCCUUAGCAGAAUGCCUGCGCUCAACUUGGAGUGUUUGGGUCUCCUCUGGGGAACCACAGCUGUUCAUUCUUUCUCACAGCAGAGGCCUCAGCCUGAGCCAAUCUCACUGGAAGAUCAGACUGGUGGGUUGAGAAAAUAAUGUUUGGAGCUCCAGGAAACCCUACUUCUGCAGCUUAUUUGGACUUAUUAUUUUAUUCUUGUUUUCU